rnacentral:rRNA from 1 species
GAGUUUGAUCGUGGCUCAGAUUGAACGCUGGCGGCAGGCCUAACACAUGCAAGUCGAGCGGAUGACGGGAGCUUGCUCCUUGAUUCAGCGGCGGACGGGUGAGUAAUGCCUGGGAAUCUGCCUGGUAGUGGGGGACAACGUUUCGAAAGGAGCGCUAAUACCGCAUACGUCCUACGGGAGAAAGCAGGGGACCUUCGGGCCUUGCGCUAUCAGAUGAGCCUAGGUCGGAUUAGCUAGUUGGUGGGGUAAUGGCUCACCAAGGCGACGAUCCGUAACUGGUCUGAGAGGAUGAUCAGUCACACUGGAACUGAGACACGGUCCAGACUCCUACGGGAGGCAGCAGUGGGGAAUAUUGGACAAUGGGCGAAAGCCUGAUCCAGCCAUGCCGCGUGUGUGAAGAAGGUCUUCGGAUUGUAAAGCACUUUAAGUUGGGAGGAAGGGCAGUAAGUUAAUACCUUGCUGUUUUGACGUUACCGACAGAAUAAGCACCGGCUAACUCUGUGCCAGCCGCCG